ensembl:snoRNA
UCUGCCCCUCGAGGUGUUGCAGGUGUGGCUGCUGUUGCAGGUGUGGCUGUUGUGUCACAUCUGCGUCACUAGGCGGCAGAGAGAAUCGAGGCUAUGUCUACACUCAGUGUUCCGACCCGUGAACGCCUGAAUGAUUAGUAGCCUGACACG